UUUUCAUGUAACUUGCAAUUAUUUGUUUCUUUUUAUCGAUUCUCGUGUUGAAUCGAACUGAUCAUAUAAGUAUGCGAUGUGAUGUUUAUUUGUGCCCCUGCAAUCUCCACAUGGACAAUGUGUUGUAUGAUUCAAAAGUAUGUUGCAUUUUAUGAUUCAAUAGAUUCUGAUCGGAUCCUCCAUUGGUAAGUAAUUAAAAUCCAUUUGAAUGUGAGUGAAUUUUUAGCUUUGGUUCGCUCUCCAUUUGUUAAAAUUUGCAUCAAGUAUCGCUUGUUCUUUAGGAUUUCUAGAAAGCUGAUUGGAUUUAUUUUUAUUCGUUAUAGAAGAUGGAAGCUAGAGGUAGGUUGCAUUGAUUGGCCAUAAGUUAAGAGAAAGUUGUGUAAAUAUGGUUUGGUCAUGUGCAAUUAAGAUUUGAUAUAAGAAGUGAUCCUAUUGGAGGCAAAAGCACCUGAACAAGGUUUAGGGAGGGGAAAAAGAACUACGGAUUGAGAUUGCUGAUGAUACAUUUGAGAUCCUACCUGAGCUGAACAUGGUACAUUGAUUGUUGAUGAUUUUAUGGAGGGCUUUGCUUGGUUGAAAAGUGAAAAAAAAAAAACAAAUAAAAAAAAUUAUCCUACUCCAAGUGAUUGGCAUUUAAAGAUUUGUUGAUUUGUUCUCCUUAGAUAGGUUAAGCGUACAUAUAUUUAAUAUGUAUCUUUAAAAUAAUGGUGCUUUUAAUGUGAAAUUUUCAUGGCUUUGUAAAAGGAAGAAAUUAGGAAUAAUAAAGAAUACCUUCCUAGGAAAUUCUGUUGCCAUCAGAGGGGAUUAUUCCAUUUAUUUUCCAAAUUGGGUUUACAGUAUUGUAUGAAAGUAUUGCAUUGUAUUUCCUUUUGGGGUGAAAAUACAGUUGGAACAAUUGAGAAAAUUAGAUUUUAGGUGUGGAAGAGAUACAUAUCAUCUACGGAUUGAGAUUACAAGGACAUGUUGAUCUUGGGUCCAGUGAUUGAGAUAAGCAAAUGAAGGCUGCUUCAUUCAAAUCAGCUUCUCCUUUAAGACAUGUCAUUGACUUGUUUGGGAUUCCCUUUAGCAUUGGCAUACAAGGAUAUGUCAAUCUAGGAUCUGGCUAUUAAGAUGUGAAAGAAGUUGGCCUCAUUUCAUUCAGGCUCUCUCUUGCAAGGUGGCAAGCUAACCCUUGCUAGGAGUAUCCUUGCUAAUUUCCUAUUCCUUUUUCCUGCACACAUGUUCAAGCUAGGAAUGGGCAUUAGGUCAAGGUAUUGUGUUCAAACACCUUUGUGUGCAUUAGAAUCAGGUGUUUGCAAGCAAAGAUUUUGGAGGUUUAAAACUAAAACCCAUUUCAUGAUGAGUACAUCUGACAGAGCACGUGCCUAUGGAGGUUUAGAGAUGAACACUGAGGCUGGUGUUGGAUGGUAACUGUCAGAAGAGUUGGGGAGGAUGAUAAUGGUUUUGACAAUAUGGGUCUUUACACAUUUAUGAAUGCAAAUCAUAGAAUAACUUGUGCAAAGACAGGUUGUGUGGAAUAGUACUUAUUUGUAGGAUUUUUUAGGAUUUAGAGUUGGACUGUUGUGGUUCAGGCAAGUAGCUUUGGAGGCCUAAUGCAGCCUCAAGGAGAAGGAAUUUUUAGAUGCCUUUCUUGUAACUUGGGUGCACAUUCCACAAAGGAGCAUCAUUUGCUUAUUGAAAACAAUUAUAUACGGUCUGCUGAAUUACAGUAUGAAUAAGGGAUCAACUAUCAUUAGGAUUCCUGAUGGUUUUGUUCGCUUUCAGUUCCGGACAUCAAGAAUUAUACUCUGCUGCAAACCACUGACCAACUAAACAAUUGAAGUUGCAAUACUUGUGUCUUGGGAGUCACAGGUAUGUUACGUAUGUAUUUUAAAUCUUUUCCUGGUUUUAUGGGUGCAUUAAAUACUAGAAAAUAUGGACUAGCUGCAUUGAAGCUAGGUGUAGUAUAGGGCUGUUCAUACUAGAAAAACAUGUAGGAACUCUUAGUGUGUUUCUUACGUUCUACAGUUAGGGGUUUCUUUUAGAAACUAAUGUUAAGCCAAGCAUCUGGGUCCAAUCUCAGCUAUGUGGUUUUUGAAGAUAAUGUUAAAUGCUUCUUUAAUAAUUGAAAAUUUUCUUAACAAAAUCAUCAUUGCUGAAGCCUUAGAACUAUUAGCUUACUGCUUACUACAAUGUUUAUCAGACUGUCCUUUUAGAACCAUCUCCGUGUACCCAUCCAAUAUGUUUUCAGUGAGAUUGCUACUUGAUUACAGCAAAUAAGGAAGAGUUUUCAAGAACAAAGAAGUUCAUCAUAGUAAAAAUAUUUCUGUAUUCCUAGAUUUAUAAGAUUGGGGAUUUUAGACCCAUGUUCUUAGCCAUUUAGGACUUUAUUAUUUUAUUAGCUAGUUAGCUUAAAUGCAGGAACAUCUCUUUGUGAUGAGGCACUUAAUCAUGAAAGUGAGAAUGCUGAAUGCAACUCCAUGAGAGAUGUUCAUGGAGGUAAGCGAUUUGUAUACUGCAAAACCUGUACCAAGUUCCUGUUUGGAGUUAGUGGAUAUGGGACUAUAAAGGUGCAUUCAAUUAUCAAAAAGGAGAAUUUAAGCCAUAAUACCGAAUGAAAGUAGAUUGAUUUUUUUCAUUCCCAUAUCUUCUUCCAUAAUGGUACGGAACAAUUGAAUCAUUGAAGUAUAUACACAAAUCACUUCAAAUGCUAUGAUGGUAACCUCAUCUUUUGGCAUGUGAUAUUCAGACAUAGAACCAAGUCCUUGUGAAUGGGCAGACAACCCAGGUGCUAUUGUUUUAUGGUGGUAGGACAAUUGCUUCCAUUACUGGCCUGAAAGUCACCAAAUUCUCCUUUAGGUGCUUCCACUGUGGCUGUUCCCAUCUUUCUCUGGUUUCCACAACCGUAACCCUUUGUCACAAAGUUACUUCAUCCAUAAAAUAAAAUAAAAAAGAAAAAGGUAAAAGGUGGUUGAAGAUCAGGAAUGCAUUCCACCCAAUAGAAUCAAAAGACACAAAGCCCCUGAAGAAGUUAAGGUUCUUCCUCAGUAUCUUGUAAAAUCUUUGGGCAGAAAAAGAAUAGUAAUAAUAUAUAUAUAUAUAUAUAUAUAUAUAUAUUUAAAUUGAUAGCAAAAUAUAACAGACAACCUUAAGGGUUGACAUACAGGAUUAUAGUUCACUGGACAUGGGCCAAUUGUGAAAAAAGCAGGCUGAUUGGGUCAUUCUUGUAUUUGGUUCCAGGGCCAAAAUUCUGAGCAGAUGGUUAGCAACCAAAACCAGUGAAUCCAGAGAUUGAAAACGUCGAGAAAUUAUGGUCUAUAUUGCAUGUCUAUCUAGGGGUGAGUCCAGUAUAAAGGAAUGUUCCUGAGAUGAAAUAGCGUUCAUUCUGACAAGUUCUUUGCCAUAGUUAAAUGUCCUAAGAUACAGUAAUCAAUUGGUGAAAUUGCAUAACGAUGAAGCGUGAGAAAAGUCCUUGAGAGAUGGCAUGAAUUUCUGAAUGCCUUUUCAUGCAUUCAACAUAUUACAAACUGAUUUUAGAUCUUAUUUUUACAUCUGCCCAUGAGAAGAGGGAAUUAGGAGGUGCAAGUUAGAAGGUGGGGCAGAAUGCUGAAUGGACUUGAAUUAAUAAGGGCUAGUUCUGGAUGUCAAACAUAAAUUGAACGUGUCCAUCUGUGUGCUCAAGCAAAUAUUGCAUAUAGAGGAAUCACUACUAUCACCAUGAUCAAUAGACACUAUGGAUUCAUUAAGAGUACAAGAAAAAUAAGUAUGUGCAUCAGAGCACUCCCAAAGACACCAUGGAUUCAUUUUGUACCCUACAUCUAAUACAAUGGAUUGGUUUAAUUCUCUGGGGAUUUCAAUUCACUAUGAGAUUAUUCAUAGUUCUAUAUUUUUAACUGUAGAUGUGAAGAGUGACGACAUGGUUCUUAGGAUGGAAACAGCACAUGAUUUGUCUUUGGAUAAGGUUUUGUUAAUGAUGACAAUGAUGGUGAUACAAGAAAGUAAGAAGACAACAAUUCUUUACAAGUGCAUUGCCAUUGGGUUUAGUAGGGCAGUUUUAGCCUAGAAUUGAUUUUAUCUCUCUUUGACUUUUUUAUGAAUUCAUUUGAAUUUUGUACAGCAUGUAAAAUUUUACUUGAGCAAGCAUCUAACUGAUUUAACUUAGCCUCAACAUGGUCAUUCAUAGCUCAUGAGCAUCAGUUUCUAGAUCGUAAAUUUGUUAUAGAAGAAUGGUGGUCUUGUUUAAUAUUUUUUCAAGUCCAGUAACUGUUUUGACAAACAAGGUUUCUAAGUAUGCCACUUGACAAAUUAUAAUGAGUUUUUAUGUAUAGUUGAAGGGUUUGCUGGUCUGUAAUAACCAGCUCAUAAGCCAAGCUCUUUAACACUUUUCCAAUCGCACCUUCACCUUAAUAUUUUGAACAUAUAUAAAGAAAUAAGAAUUAUUUAUUUAAUUAAAGGGGAGAAAAACAAAGUCUUGAGCAAGAUUCUACUUUUCAACUUGGCCUUUGGACAGCACUCACAACAUAAAAAAGAAAGCAAAAAAGAAAAGCUGCCUACCAUUACGGGGUCUACACCCUACAAAGCCCACCCACCUAACCAAAUCUUUUCCCCAUUUGUUACUUUUAUUUUUUUUUUCUUUUUCUUUGUUUUGCACCCAUGUUAGAUUCUAUGCACAUUUAUACAUAGGCACUAGGAGCUAUCCCAGAACAAAAAGACAUCUCUCUUUCCUACUCUCUAAAGCGUGGGAAGUUGGGGACGCUUGAAAACAAUUUUCAAGCGUGUCGGUUUCCCGUCACUUUUGAAACAUCCAGCUCAAACUUAGCUUUCCAUCCUCCUCUUCUGGAAAUAAAACAGGUGUCCCAUAGUAGCCAUCUGAUCACCAUCUGAUUGAUCAUUCAAUUUUGAUCCGAUUUGGUUUUGGCUUGGAAAGUAUGUGCCUUCCUCUGUGGGUUAAGAAAAAUGGAUCAAUUGCUGUUAAGAGCUCACUCUUCUUUCUAUGUCUAUAACUGGAAUAGCAUAUCAAAUAAAACCCAGAAUUGAUACCUGAAUGCAUGUCUCUAUUAUGACCAGAAAGCAACUUCUCCUACUAAUUUAAGUUCUGUCACCAACCAUGUCCAUUCCUUCUGCCUCUUUUUGGAAAAAUGUUCACAACGGUUCUGGACUUAACAAUAGGAUUGCCAAAAUUUAAUUGGAAGUCAAACAUGUUAUUUCACUAGGUGGUGAUUGUUGUUGCAAUCUUAAGGUUUCAGGUUCCAUUAUGGCUUGCUGCCAAUAGGAAAAGGAUGACCAUGGUGUCUGUCGUUAUGAUCUAGAAGGUUUGAUUCCCGACAUUCUUAAAUUUUUCCAUGUAUACUGACCAGCGCUGUAUAGAGAAACAGGGUUGAUUAUAAUGGGUUUUGUCUGCUAAUCAUGGUUGUUCUUUUUCUUAGCUAUAAACAAAUCAAUUAAUCUAGAUCAUGUUUUCCACAUUGAAAGAGAUUGGGAUCACGUUGAAACUAUUUCUGGAUUUCAACCUUUGUUGCUGCAUUAGCUGAAAACUGAAGCCGCUAAAGGUUAUGCACAAUCAUUGCUUCCAGGGACACAAUCAUUAUGUUUAGGCUUUUUUUGUAAGUUUCUUCAAAGAGGAAUAAUUACCCAAAUCAAGUAGCUAAGAUGCUUGUGCCGUUGUGUUUAUCACAUAUCCAUUGAGGAAAAAGAUGGAUAGGUGAAUCCAAAAUGUUCCUGCAGAACCUUCGUGCAAGUCAGCGACACCAGUUAAUAUUGUUCCAUACUCGAUCACCAUGCAGGUGAAAGAUCCUCUCCCAUAUUCAUUUUAUAAUUGAGUUCACCCCUACACUUUCUGCUCGUGUCACAGAGAUUAUACCAGUGUGCUUAUGACAUCCCAGAAACUUUUCAGAUGAAUUACCAAACACUCCUGAAAGGCCCUCUGAAUAACAGCGGAGCCAUUGAUGGAGCAACGCGUCUCAUCCUCAAAAAGUAGUGUUUUUUUAACACUUCUGUGGUAACCACAGCUCACUUGGGAGCCAAUGCCAUGGCCAAGGUACCCACAUGCACACAACUCAUCAGUUCCCCUUCCUGUGGGGCUAUGUUGAAACUUGAGAACCAGCUCACACGUGUUGCUGUCAAUUAAAGGUAUAUGUGGCUCCCGCUUCAUAGAGCAGCAACUCAUGGUGGUGGGGUCUGAUUUGUGAUGUCCAUAUUACAGCUAAAACCCACUUGUGGCUGCAUAUCACAGAGUGGGAAAUCCCGAUGCCUUAUGUUAUCUAGAAACUGUUGAAAUACGUGGAAUUGACUGUUCAGGAGUUUGGCAUGGCAAAAACUUACUAGAUCUUCAAUUCUAUACCCAGCACAGAGAUGGGUUGAUACGGUCUACUGACUUCGUUGUAAAAUUGAAGCAUGGGCUCACUUCCCUGCCAUGUUGUUGGGAGACAAAUAACUUCGAUCUAUUGAAAGUGCUUAGCAUUGAAUUGGGUCCUGCUAUUAUCCUCAUGGUAUAUCGAUUUGGGCAAACCACAUUGGUUUAUCUAUAUUCCAGACACGUUUGCAUGUGGGAUAAAUGUUGUCCCUGAUAAACUCAAAUAGGAUAGACAUCUACCUCUUGAAUACCCGGAUAUCAAGCCAGGAAAUAUGUCCUGAGACUUUUGUAAGUUGUCAGGGUUUAGCCCUUGGCUGAAUUGGUAUCAGUUCCAGGUUGGAGUGUUCAGUCACUCACUGGUGUAAUCUCAUGUCUCAUUUAGAAAUGUAUGCGAAUUUUUUGUAGUUUACUGC